UCAAGGUAAGAAGGGCGCACGGUGGAUGACUUGGCAGCGGCGGGCGAGGAAGGACGCGGCAGGCUGCGAAAAGCCACGGGGAGCUGCGAGCAAGCGUAGAUCCGUGGGUAUCCGAAUGGGGCAACCUGGGCAGGCGAGGAGCCUGCUCAUCCUGUGCUGAAUUCAUAGGCGCAGGAGGCGCACCCGGGGAAGUGAAACAUCUCAGUACCCGGAGGAGAAGAAAUCAACGGAGAUUCCCUUAGUAGUGGCGAGCGAACGGGGAGUAGCCCAAACCGGUCUCAUCCUUAGGGAUGGGGUCGGGGUUGUGGGACCGCGGAAGUACCCCAUGCGGGGCAUAGCCGAAGGGGCUGGAAAGCCCUCCCGUAGAAGGUGACAGGCCUGUAGGCGAAAUGCGCUGCUGGGGGAAGCGGGAUCCCGAGUACCACGGGGCACGAGGAACCCUGUGGGAAGCAGGGGGGACCACCCUCCAAGGCUAAAUACCGCUGCUGACCGAUAGUGCACCAGUACCGUGAGGGAAAGUUGAAAAGAACCCCGGUGAGGGGAGUGAAAUAGAGCCUGAAACCGUGUGCCUACAAGCAGUCGGAGCCUUCAGGGGCGGAGGUCUCUGGGGGUGACGGCGUGCCUUUUGAUUAAUGAGCCGGCGAGUUGCUGGCACUGGCGAGGCUAAGCCCUUCUGGGGCGGAGCCGCAGGGAAACCGAGUCUGAAGAGGGCGUAUCAGUCGGUGUCAGCAGACCCGAAGCCAGGUGAUCUACCCAUGGUCAGGGUGAAGUGGGGGUAGCACCCCAUGGAGGCCCGAACCGGUGUCUGUUGCAAAAGGCUCGGAUGAACUGUGGGUAGGGGUGAAAGGCCAAUCAAACCUGGUGAUAGCUGGUUCUCCCCGAAAUGCAUUGAGGUGCAGCCUCGGCAUGAGCCCUCGGGGGGUAGGGCACUGGAUGGGCUAGGGCGGCAGAAGCCGUACCAAACCCAACCAAACCACGAAUACUCGGGGGUGCUUGUCGGGAGUGAGAGUGCGGGCGCUAAGGUCCGUGCUCGAGAGGGAAACAGCCCAGACCGCCAGCUAAGGUCCCCAAGACGGUGCUAAGUGGGGAAGGAUGUGGUGCUGCUGAGACAGCCAGGAUGUUGGCUUAGAAGCAGCCAUCAUUUAAAGAAAGCGUAACAGCUCACUGGUUUAGCGGCACUGCGCCGAAAAUCCAACGGGGCUUAAGCACCGCACCGAAGCUGCGGAAACAGCGGGCAAUCAAGGACCUGCUGUUUGGUAGGGGAGCAUUCUGCUAACCUGCGAAGGCGCACCGCGAGGUGUGCUGGAGGAGGCAGAAGGGAGUAUGCCGGCAUAAGUAGCGCAAAUCCUGAUGAGAAGUCAGGACGCCGUAAACCUAAGGUUUCCUGGGGAAGGUAAAUCCGCCCAGGGUUAGGCGGGCCUAAGGCGAGGCCGGAAGGCGUAGCUGAUGGACAGCAGGUUAAUAUUCCUGCCCCGUCCUGGCGGCGUUUGACCGAAGGGGUGACGCAGCAGGAUAGUCCGGGCCUGGAGUUGGGGCCAGGUCCAAGCGCUUAGGCUGCUGGGGGAGGCAAAUCCCCCCUGGCGCAAAGGCUGAGGCGCGACGGGCAAGCCCGCAAGGGUGAACUCGGGCGAUUCCACACUGACGAGAAAAACCUCUAAGGGAGCCGCCAGGGCGCCCGUACCGCAAACCGACACUGGUAGGUGGGUGGAAGACACCAAGGCGUUCGAGCUAACCCUCGCUAAGGAACUCGGCAAAAUGGCCCCGUAACUUCGGGAGAAGGGGUCCCUCCGGGGCUGGGGGCACGGCCCCUGGCUGCCGAGGGCGCAGUGAAGAGGCCCAGGCGACUGUUUACCAAAAACACAGGUGCCUGCUAACCCGAAAGGGGAUGUAUAGGCACUGACGCCUGCCCGGUGCCGGAAGGUUAACGGGAGGAGUUAGGGGGUUUCGGCCCCCGAAGCUCUGAACUGAAGCCCCGGUAAACGGCGGCCGUAACUAUAACGGUCCUAAGGUAGCGAAAUUCCUUGUCGGGUAAGUUCCGACCUGCACGAAUGGCGUAACGACUUGGGCGCUGUCUCGGCGAGGGGCUCGGCGAACUUGAGAUACCGGUGAAGACGCCGGUUACCCGCAGCUAGACGGAAAGACCCCGUGCACCUUUACUACAGCUUGGCAGUGAGCUUUGGCAGUGCAUGUGUAGGAUAGGUGGGAGGCACUGAAGCGGUGGCGCCAGCUGCCGUGGAGCCGUCCUUGAAAUACCACCCUUGUGCUGUUGGGGCUCUAACCUGCGGCCGUGAAUCCGGCCGAGGGACACUGUCUGGCGGGUAGUUUGACUGGGGCGGUCGCCUCCUAAAAGGUAACGGAGGCGUCCAAAGGUCUCCUCAGGCUGGACGGAAACCAGCCGUUGAGUGCAAAGGCAUAAGGAGGCUUGACUGCGAGGCCGACGGGCCGAGCAGGUGGGAAACCAGGGCUUAGUGAUCCGGUGGCUCCGUGUGGAAGGGCCAUCGCUCAACGGAUAAAAGGUACGCCGGGGAUAACAGGCUGAUCGGGCCCAAGAGUUCACAUCGACGGCCCGGUUUGGCACCUCGAUGUCGACUCAUCGCAUCCUGGGGCUGAAGUAGGUCCCAAGGGUUGGGCUGUUCGCCCAUUAAAGCGGUACGAGAGUUGGGUUCAGAACGUCGUGAGACAGUUCGGUCCCUAUCUGCUGCGGGCGNAGGAGACUUGAGGGGAGCCGUCCCCAGUACGAGAGGACCGGGAUGGACGGACCUCUGGUGUUCCGGUUGUCGCACCAGCGGCAACGCCGGGUAGCCAUGUCCGGACGGGAUAAACGCUGAAGGCAUCUAAGCGUGAAGCCCACCCCAAGAUGAGGUCUCCCGAGCCGUAAGGCUCCCGAAGGUCCCUGGUAGACUACCAGGUCGAUAGGCUGGAGGUGUAAGGGUAGAAAUGCCCUCAGCUGACCAGUACUAAUAGACCGAGCGCCUUGACCCC
rnacentral:rRNA from 1 species